rnacentral:rRNA from 1 species
CCUACGGGAGGCUGCAGUGGGGAAUAUUGGACAAUGGGGGGAACCCUGAUCCAGCCAUGCCGCGUGUGUGAAGAAGGCCCUCGGGUUGUAAAGCACUUUCAGUGAGGAAGAACGCCUGGUGGUUAAUACCCAUCAGGAAAGACAUCACUCACAGAAGAAGCACCGGCUAACUCCGUGCCAGCAGCCGCGGUAAUACGGAGGGUGCGAGCGUUAAUCGGAAUUACUGGGUGUAAAGCGCGCGUAGGUGGCUUGAUAAGCCGGUUGUGAAAGCCCCGGGCUCAACCUGGGAACGGCAUCCGGAACUGUCAAGCUAGAGUGCAGGAGAGGAAGGUAGAAUUCCCGGUGUAGCGGUGAAAUGCGUAGAGAUCGGGAGGAAUACCAGUGGCGAAGGCGGCCUUCUGGACUGACACUGACACUGAGGUGCGAAAGCGUGGGUAGCAAACAGGAUUAGAUACCCUGGUAGUC